rnacentral:rRNA from 1 species
CGGCGGACGGGUGAGUAACGCGUGGGUAACCUGCCUCAUACAGGGGAUAACAGUUAGAAAUGACUGCUAAUACCGCAUAAGACCACAGGGCCGCAUGGCCCGGUGGUAAAAACUCCGGUGGUAUGAGAUGGACCCGCGUCUGAUUAGCUGGUUGGUGGGGUAACGGCCUACCAAGGCGACGAUCAGUAGCCGACCUGAGAGGGUGACCGGCCACAUUGGGACUGAGACACGGCCCAAACUCCUACGGAAGGCAGCAG